ensembl:ncRNA
UUCCCAGUAAUGUCCACUUACAAG